AGUUUCUGGAACAGAAGUUCAAUGAAUUCAUGGAUAACAUUACCUCAGAUGAUAAGAAGGAUAAAGCUCCUCAGAAGUGGAUUGCGGAGGCAGUUAAAAAACAGUUUGAUAUGUCAAAGACUUAUGAGCAGUAUAUCAGAAA